AAUAUAUUUUAUUAUGGUAAUAAAAUUUAUUAAUUAGACAAUUUAUAUGUAAAUUUUUGUGUGAAUAUAAGUAAUUUAAAAAAUAUUUAUUUUAAUAAUUCGCAGUAAUUAAUAUUAUUAAUUUAAGAAAUUAUGAAUUAGUGAUUUAAUUUAAUAUAGGUUUAUUUUGUGCCAGCAAUCGCGGUUAUACAAAAUAUAUAAAUAAAUUAUAUUAAAAAAAGUUAAAUAAAGUUAUUAAAUUUAAAUUUUAGUUAGUAUUAUAAAGUGAAAUUUUAAUAUUAUAUAAAUUUUAAUUAAUUAAGUUAUUAAUCUUAUAAAUUUUAUAAUAAACUAGGAUUAGAUACCCUAUUAUUAAAAUAUAAGAAUUAUUUUUAGAUUAGUAUUAAAUAUAUUUAUGAAAUUAAAAUAAUUUGGCGGUAUUUUAGUCUAUUCAGAGGAAUUUGUUUUAUAAUCGAUAUUCCGCGUUAUAUCUUACUUAUUUUAUUUAAUUUGUAUAUCGUUGUCAUUAGAAUAUUUUAUAAGAAAAAUAAUUUUCUUAAAUUAUUUAAAAUUUUAUGUCAAAUCAAGGUGCAGUUUAUAUUUAAGUAAAAAUGAAUUACAUUAAUAUAUAAUUAAAUGAAUUAAAAAUUGAAAAAUUUUUAUGAAGGUGGAUUUGAUCGUAAAUUUUAGGAGGGUAUAAAAUUGAUUAUAGCUCUAAAAUAUGUACAUAUCGCCCGUCGCUCUUAUUAUUAAAGUAAGAUAAGUCGUAACAAAGUAGAGUUACUGGAAAGUGUCUCUAGAUAGA
rnacentral:ncRNA from 1 species